rnacentral:rRNA from 1 species
GACGAACGCUGGCGGCGUGCUUAACACAUGCAAGUCGAACGGUAAGGCCCUUCGGGUACGACGAGUGGCGAACGGGUGGAGUAACACGUGGGUGAUCUGCCCUGCACUUCGGGAUAAGCUUGGGAAACUGGGUCUAAUACCGGAUAGGACCACGGUCUGCAUGGAUUGUGGUGGAAAGCUUUUGCGGUGUGGGAUGGGCCCGCGGCCUAUCAGCUUGUUGGUGGGGUGAUGGCCUACCAAGGCGACGACGGGUAGCCGGCCUGAGAGGGUGUCCGGCCACACUGGGACUGAGAUACGGCCCAGACUCCUACGGGAGGCAGCAGUGGGGAAUAUUGCACAAUGGGCGCAAGCCUGAUGCAGCGACGCCGCGUGGGGGGAUGACGGCCUUCGGGUUGUAAACUCUUUCAGCAGGGACGGAAGGGUGGACUGACGGUACCUGUAGAAGAAGCACCGGCCAACUA